rnacentral:rRNA from 1 species
CCAAUAGCGUAUAUUAAAGUUGUUGCAGUUAAAAAGCUCGUAGUUGAAUUUCGAGAUCAAUUUGUCGGUCGUGCCUCGGUACGUACUGGCAUUAUUGAUUUCUCCCUUCUGAAGAACCGCGAUGUCAUUAAUUUGGUGUCGUGGGGAAUCAGGACUGUUACUUUGAAAAAAUUAGAGUGUUUAAAGCAGGCUUACGCUUGAAUACAUUAGCAUGGAAUAA